rnacentral:rRNA from 1 species
CAAUAGCAUAUAUUAACGUUGUUGCAGUUGAAAAGCUCGUAGUUGAACUUUUGGUAGGAGCGACCUGGCCUUGGGCGCAUGCCCUUGUUUGCCGUGUGUCGUAUCUGGCCAUCCUUUUCCGCUUCGGCGGGAAUCCCUUACUGUGAGUAAACUGGAGUGCUCAAAACAAGACGUUUGUUUGGUACAUUAAAGCAUGGAAUAAUAAGAUAGGACCUGGUUACUAUUUUGUUGGUUUGCAUAGCUAGGUAAUGAUUAACAGGGACAGUUGGGGGUAUUCGUAUUUAAUUGUCAGAGGUGAAAUUCUUGGAUUUAUGAAAGACGAACGACUGCGAAAGCAUUUACCAAGGAUGUUUUCAUUAA